rnacentral:rRNA from 1 species
AGCGAACGCUGGCGGCAGGCCUAACACAUGCAAGUCGAACGAACUCUUCGGAGUUAGUGGCGGACGGGUGAGUAACACGUGGGAACGUGCCUUUAGGUUCGGAAUAACUCAGGGAAACUUGUGCUAAUACCGAAUGUGCCCUUCGGGGGAAAGAUUUAUCGCCUUUAGAGCGGCCCGCGUCUGAUUAGCUUGUUGGUGGGGUAAUGGCCCACCAAGGCGACGAUCAGUAGCCGGUCUGAGAGGAUGACCAGCCACAUUGGGACUGAGACACGGCCCAAACUCCUACGGGAGGCAGCAGUGGGGAAUCUUGCGCAAUGGGCGAAAGCCUGACGCAGCCAUGCCGCGUGGAUGAUGAAGGUCUUAGGAUUGUAAAAUCCUUUCACCGGCGAAGAUAAUGACUGUAGCCGGAGAAGAAGCCCCGGCUAACUUCGUGCCAGCCGCCGCGGUAACAC